rnacentral:rRNA from 1 species
AUUGAACGCUGGCGGCAUGCCUUACACAUGCAAGUCGAACGGCAGCACGGGAGCAAUCCUGGUGGCGAGUGGCGAACGGGUGAGUAAUAUAUCGGAACGUGCCCAGUCGUGGGGGAUAACGUAGCGAAAGUUACGCUAAUACCGCAUACGAUCUACGGAUGAAAGCGGGGGACUCGCAAGAGCCUCGCGCGAUUGGAGCGGCCGAUAUCAGAUUAGGUAGUUGGUGGGGUAAAGGCUCACCAAGCCAACGAUCUGUAGCUGGUCUGAGAGGACGACCAGCCACACUGGAACUGAGACACGGUCCAGACUCCUACGGGAGGCAGCAGUGGGGAAUAUUGGUCAAUGGGCGCAAGCCUGACCAGCCAUGCCGCGUGCAGGAAGAAUGCCCUAUGGUUGUAAACUGCUUUAUUUGGGAAUAAACCUCUUUACGUGUAGAGAGCUGAAGGUACCAAUGAAUAAGCACCGGCUAACUCCGUGCCAG